UACGUAGGGUCCGAGCGUUGUCCGGAAUUAUUGGGCGUAAAGGGCUCGUAGGCGGUCUGUUGCGUCGGGAGUGAAAACUUACAGCUUAACUGUGAGCGUGCUUUCGAUACGGGCAGACUAGAGUUCGGUAGGGGAGUCUGGAAUUCCUGGUGUAGCGGUGAAAUGCGCAGAUAUCAGGAGGAACACCGAUGGCGAAGGCAGUGGGCUGGGCCGGCACUGACGCUGAGGAGCGAAAGCGUGGGGAGCGAACAGG
rnacentral:rRNA from 1 species